rnacentral:rRNA from 1 species
CUUGGUUGAUCCUGCCAGUAGUAUAUGCUUGUCUCAAGGAUUAAGCCAUGCAAGUGUAAGUAUGAGUGAGUUAUACAACGAAACUGUGAAUGGUUCGGUAAACAGCUAUAGUUUCUUCGGUGGUAAAUACUACUUAGAUACCCGUAGUAAUUCUAGAGCUAAUACAUGCCAUAAAAGCGGCGCUUGUGCCUUGGUAUAAAUUGGAGAUACAAGCUAGUGUUUUGUGAUGUGUUUGGUCACAAUUUUUUUCUGAUUGAACAUGAGUGCGACGCACCGUUCAAAUUUCUGACCUAUCAACUUUGGAUGGUAAGGUGUUUUCUUACUAUGGUUGUGACGGGUAGCGGACCUUUGGUGCGGGGCUCCGGAGAGGGAGCCUGGGAAACGGCUACUACAUCCAAGGAAGGCAGCAGGCGCGCAAAUUAACCAAUCCGGACACCGGGAGGUAGUGACAAGAAAUAACAAUCGAGGGCCCAACUUUUUUUUUAAUUGGAAUGAGAACAAGGUAAACAUAUUAUCGGAGAGCCAGCAGAGGGCAAUUCAGGUGCUAGCAGCCGCGGUAAUUCCAGCCCUGUAAGCGUAUACCAAAUUUGUUGCAGUUAAAAAGCUCGUAGUCCGAGUUUGGCGGGCGGGCUGGGGCGUCUUCGCAGACGGAUCUGGGGUCGGUCGCCUUUGGGGAGGGGGCCCCGGUGUCGCUUCACCGCGGCGGCGUGGUCGCUGCCACCGUUUACUGUGAGAAAAUGAGAAAAUUAUAGUGUUAAAAUCUGGCUUUUGCCAUGAAUACAUUAGCAUAGAAUAUUAGAAUAGGACCUCUUUCCUAUUUUGUUGGUUUGUGAGGAACGGGUAAUGACUAAGAGGAACGGUAAGGGACAUUUUUAAUCCGGAGUUAGAGGUGAGAUUCUUGGAUUGUCGGAAGACAAACGGCUUCGAAAGCGUCUGCUAAGGAAUUUUCCAAUGAUCAGGAACGAAAGUAAGGGGAUCGAAGACGAUCAGUUACCGUCGUAGCCUUUACUAUAAACGAUGAGGACUGGAGAUCAGGCAGGACUUGAAAUUUGGCCUGUCCAGCACCCUUUGGGCGACUGUAGUCCCCCAGAAACCAAAUUGUUUGAUUUCUGGGGGCCUAUGGUGGCAAUGCUGAAACUCAAAGGAAUUGAGAGAAGGGCAUCACCAGGGGUGGAGCCUGCGGCUUAAUUUGACUUAACACAGGGAAACUUACCAUGUCCGGACAUAGUGAUGAUUGACAGAUUGAGAGCUCAUUCUUGAUACUAUAGUUGUUGUUGCAUGCCCGUUCUUAGUUCUUUUAGCUUAGUGUAGUGAUCUGUCUAGUUAAUUGUCCCGUUAACCGUUAACGAGCGAGAACUGGGCGUGCUAGCUAGGCGCGACUACCGCUUUGGUUGUAAGGCCUACUUUCUGUCCCCUUUUUCAACUUGAGAGCAGUCUGAAUUCAGUUUAUAGUUCAAAAUAUUUCAUAAAAGAACUCAUGGAAAAAGUUCCACAUCUUGUUCACAAGGGUGUUUCAGAGAAAAAUAGUCAGACUUCACAUUUUUAAUUUUUCAUCCUACUGAUUCCCAUUCACUUAGCUCUUAAAUGGAAUUGAAGUUGAUUAUAAGCCUCCAAUUAUAAAAAGGACUCAUAUAACAUAA